rnacentral:tRNA from 1 species
GUUGGGGUGGCAGAGCCCGGUAAUUGCAAAAGGCCUAAGCCCUUUCAUCCAGAGGUUCAACUCCUCUCCCCAGCU